rnacentral:rRNA from 1 species
GAUGAACGCUGGCGGCGUGCUUAACACAUGCAAGUCGAACGGAGCUUGUUGGAAAGAGACUUCGGUCAAUUGAAUUCAAGCUUAGUGGCGGACGGGUGAGUAACGCGUGGGUAACCUGCCUUAUACAGGGGGAUAACACUUAGAAAUAGGUGCUAAUACCGCAUAAGCGCACAGUUUCGCAUGAAACAGUGUGAAAAACUCCGGUGGUACAGGAUGGGCCCGCGUCUGAUUAGCUAGUUGGUGAUGUAACGGACCACCAAGGCAACGAUCAGUAGCCGGCUUGAGAGAGUGAACGGCCACAUUGGGACUGAGACACGGCCCAAACUCCUACGGGAGGCAGCAGUGGGGAAUAUUGGGCAAUGGGCGAAAGCCUGACCCAGCGACGCCGCGUGAGGGAAGAAGGUCUUCGGAUUGUAAACCUCUGUUGAUAGGGAAGAAGAAAGUGACGGUACCUAUCGAGGAAGUCACGGCUAACUACGUG